AGUGAACGCUGGCGGUAGGCCUAACACAUGCAAGUCGAACGGCAGCACAGAGGAGCUUGCUCCUUGGGUGGCGAGUGGCGGCCGGGUGAGGAAUACAUCGGAAUCUACUCUGUCGUGGGGGAUAACGUAGGGAAACUUACGAUAAUACCGCAUACGACCUACGGGUGAAAGCAGGGGACCUUCGGGCCUUGCGCGAUUGAAUGAGCCGAUGUCGGAUUAGCUAGUUGGCGGGGUAAAGGCCCACAAAGGCGACGAUCCGUAGCUGGUCUGAGAGGAUGAUCAGCCACACUGGAACUGAGACACGGUCCAGACUCCUACGGGAGGCAGCAGUGGGGAAUAUUGGACAAUGGGCGCAAGCCUGAUCCAGCCAUACCGCGUGGGUGAAGAAGGCCUUCGGGUUGUAAAGCCCUUUUGUUGGGAAAGAAAUCCAGCUGGCUAAUACCCGGUUGGGAUGACGGUACCCAAAGAAUAAGCACCGGCUAACUUCGUGCCAGCAGCCGCAGUAA
rnacentral:rRNA from 1 species